UACAGAGGUCCCGAGCGUUGUUCGGAUUCACUGGGCGUAAAGGGUGCGUAGGUGGGCUGGUAAGUCAGUGGUGAAAUCUCCAGGCUUAACUUGGAAACUGCCAUUGAUACUAUCAGUCUUGAAUACCGUGGAGGUCAGCGGAAUAUGUCAUGUAGCGGUGAAAUGCUUAGAUAUGACAUAGAACACCAAUUGCGAAGGCAGCUGGCUACACGAAUAUUGACACUGAUGCACGAAAAGCGUGGGGAUCAAACAGG
rnacentral:rRNA from 1 species